GACGAACGCUGGCGGCGUGCUUAACACAUGCAAGUCGAACGAAAAGAGGGAAAGAGCUUGCUCUUUCCGGAAUUGAGUGGCAAACGGGUGAGUAACACGUAAACAACCUGCCUUCAGGAUGGGGACAACAGACGGAAACGACUGCUAAUACCGAAUAAGUUCCAAGAGCCGCAUGGCCCAUGGAAGAAAAGGUGGCCUCUACCUGUAAGCUAUCGCCUGAAGAGGGGUUUGCGUCUGAUUAGCUGGUUGGAGGGGUAACGGCCCACCAAGGCGACGAUCAGUAGCCGGUCUGAGAGGAUGAACGGCCACACUGGAACUGAGACACGGUCCAGACUCCUACGGGAGGCAGCAGUGGGGAAUCUUCCGCAAUGGGCGAAAGCCUGACGGAGCAACGCCGCGUGAGUGAUGACGGCCUUCGGGUUGUAAAACUCUGUGAUCCGGGACGAAAAGGUAGAGUGCGAAGAACAAACUGCAUUGACGGUACCGGAAAAGCAAGCCACGGCUAACUACGUG
rnacentral:rRNA from 1 species